AGUUUGAUCCUGGCUCAGGAUGAACGCUAGCGGCAGGCCUAAUACAUGCAAGUCGAACGCUCAGUAGCAAUACUGGGAGUGGCGCACGGGUGCGUAACGCGUACACAAUCUACCUCUAAGCGGGGGACACCUCCUGGAAACGGGGAUUAAUACCGCAUAAUAUGCCGAAGUCGCAUGACUUUGGUAUUAAAGCAGCAAUGCACUUAGAGAUGAGUGUGCGUCCCAUUAGGUAGUUGGUGAGGUAACGGCUCACCAAGCCUAUGAUGGGUAGCCGGUCUGAGAGGAUGGUCGGCCACACGGGCACUGAGACACGGGCCCGACUCCUACGGGAGGCAGCAGUAAGGAAUAUUGGUCAAUGGUGGAAACACUGAACCAGCCAUGCCGCGUGGAGGAAUAAGGUCCUACGGAUUGUAAACUCCUUUUGACGAGGAAGAAAAUGUUAGAUUUAUCUAAUUUUGACGGUACUCGUAGAAUAAGCACCGGCUAACUCCGUG
rnacentral:rRNA from 1 species